rnacentral:misc_RNA from 1 species
UCUCCGUAGGUGAACCAGCGGAGGGAUCAUUACAGAGUUCUCGCCCUCGCGGGUAGUUCUCCCACCCACUGCUAUCGUUACUGUCGUUUCUUUGGCGGGCCGCCGGGUCCCCGCCGGCCGGCGAGUAAUAGGCGGGGCGGGCCCUACAGAGGCGUUCGAACCCUGAAUGUUAGUGUCGUUCGAGUACUAUCUAAUAGUUAAAACUUUCAACAACGGAUCUCUUGGUUCUG